rnacentral:rRNA from 1 species
ACGAACGCUGGCGGCGUGCCUAAUACAUGCAAGUCGAACGAAACUUUCUUACACCGAAUGCUUGCAUUCACCGUAAGAAGUUGAGUGGCGGACGGGUGAGUAACACGUGGGUAACCUGCCUAAAAGAAGGGGAUAACACUUGGAAACAGGUGCUAAUACCGUAUAUCUCUAAGGAUCGCAUGAUCCUUAGAUGAAAGAUGGUUCUGCUAUCGCUUUUAGAUGGACCCGCGGCGUAUUAACUAGUUGGUGGGGUAACGGCCUACCAAGGUGAUGAUACGUAGCCGAACUGAGAGGUUGAUCGGCCACAUUGGGACUGAGACACGGCCCAAACUCCUACGGGAGGCAGCAGUAGGGAAUCUUCCACAAUGGACGCAAGUCUGAUGGAGCAACGCCGCGUGAGUGAAGAAGGUCUUCGGAUCGUAAAACUCUGUUGUUAGAGAAGAACACGAGUGAGAGUAACUGUUCAUUCGAUGACGGUAUCUAACCAGCAAGUCACGGCUAACUACGUGCCAGCAGCCGCGGUAAUACGUAGGUGGCAAGCGUUGUCCGGAUUUAUUGGGCGUAAAGGGAACGCAGGCGGUCUUUUAAGUCUGAUGUGAAAGCCUUCGGCUUAACCGGAGUAGUGCAUUGGAAACUGGAAGACUUGAGUGCAGAAGAGGAGAGUGGAACUCCAUGUGUAGCGGUGAAAUGCGUAGAUAUAUGGAAGAACACCAGUGGCGAAAGCGGCUCUCUGGUCUGUAACUGACGCUGAGGUUCGAAAGCGUGGGUAGCAAACAGGAUUAGAUACCCUGGUAGUCCACGCCGUAAACGAUGAAUGCUAGGUGUUGGAGGGUUUCCGCCCUUCAGUGCCGCAGCUAACGCAAUAAGCAUUCCGCCUGGGGAGUACGACCGCAAGGUUGAAACUCAAAGGAAUUGACGGGGGCCCGCACAAGCGGAGGAACAUGUGGUUUAAUUCGAUGAUACGCGAGGAACCUUACCCGGGCUUAAAUUGCAAAUGAAUUAUGGGGAAACCCAUACGCCGCAAGGCAUUUGUGAAGGUGCUGCAUGGUUGUCGUCAGCUCGUGUCGUGAGAUGUUGGGUUAAGUCCCGCAACGAGCGCAACCCUUGUUGUCAGUUGCCAGCAUUAAGUUGGGCACUCUGGCGAGACUGCCGGUGACAAACCGGAGGAAGGUGGGGACGACGUCAAGUCAUCAUGCCCCUUAUGACCUGGGCUACACACGUGCUACAAUGGACGGUACAACGAGUCGCGAGACCGCGAGGUUUAGCUAAUCUCUUAAAGCCGUUCUCAGUUCGGAUUGUAGGCUGCAACUCGCCUACAUGAAGUCGGAAUCGCUAGUAAUCGCGAAUCAGCAUGUCGCGGUGAAUACGUUCCCGGGCCUUGUACACACCGCCCGUCACACCAUGAGAGUUUGUAACACCCAAAGCCGGUGGGGUAACCGCAAGGAGCCAGCCGUCUAAGGUGGGACAGAUGAUUGGGGUG